CGAGGAGCUGUUGGUCCGGGCCUGAACGUUGUGAGGAGGCGGUGGAGGCGGCACGAGGCGAUCUCGGACAGCUACCAGAGAUUGAGACUGAAUUUAGCUAAAGUGAAUGAGGACAUAAGACAAGGAGAAGACAACAGGAGGACGAGCUUGUUUCCAUGGAGGCUGAAAAGUUUAGCUAGGGGUGGAGCGGAGCUGCCUGCACCCCCCAUGCAGCCCUGAGGAGUUUCACUGAAGCCACAGCAGGGCCAGCAGGUCAGACUGAGAUAAAACCGAAGAAUUCAGGGAGGUGGGAGUGAUAUAUGAGAUGAGAGGUGAGUCCUGCUCUGCAACAGUUAGUUGCAAAGACAAUAAAGAGCAGCGGAUUAAUGAGA